UGGGGAAUAUUGCACAAUGGGCGAAAGCCUGAUGCAGCAACGCCGCGUGAGUGAUGAAGGCCUUCGGGUUGUAAACCUCUUUUGGCAGGGAAGAAGCGAAAGUGACGGUACCUGCAGAAAAAGCACCGGCUAACUACGUGCCAGCAGCCGCGGUGAUACGUAGGGUGCAAGCGUUGUCCGGAAUUAUUGGGCGUAAAGAGCUCGUAGGCGGUUUGUCGCGUCUGCUGUGAAAACCCGAGGCUCAACCUCGGGCUUGCAGUGGGUACGGGCAAACUAGAGUGCGGUAGGGGAGAUUGGAAUUCCUGGUGUAGCGGUGGAAUGCGCAGAUAUCAGGAGGAACACCGAUGGCGAAGGCAGAUCUCUGGGCCGUAACUGACGCUGAGGAGCGAAAGCAUGGGGAGCGAACA
rnacentral:rRNA from 1 species